CAUUUGUUUCCCUUUCUUUACAAUCUCAUAUCCCGUCCUUGACCUUUGACGAUAAAGCGUCAGUGAACAUACUCCAUUUCUCAAGACAGAAUUCGGGGAAAAGAGCGCGCUGAUGACCUUUGUUUGACUUUCAAAGAAUCACGUUCAGCAGAAGGACAGACUCCGUUGACUGUCAAAUGUGUCUAGCUGUGCAGACGAUGCCGUCACGCGCCCGGGGACACCGCCACAAAGACGUAUUAUUGGAAGGUUUCUUUUUUUUUUUUAGGCAUUGAGCUCUCUCUUCCUUGUCUCUCUGGUCUGGUGACAUGACAUUCAACUAAAUGCAGACAACUGCCGGUGUCGAUCACAUUUGAAUCUAGAAGUGAAAGAAAGUUUGUCUGCCAUUAAAAUACUGCCCGACGGAAGUGAAACUCUUUGACUUUGAGGGUACAAUUAUAGACUGAAGGCUUAGCGAGGAUGUGGUGAGAGAGAGAACCGAGGGCAAUACUAGUGGAGAUGUUCAUACAUGGCGGACGACUAAGAUUAAGGCUAGAUCUAGCUUUUUUUUUUUUUUUUGGUGUAACCGGUGUACAAACUAAAGAAAGGGAUGAUAAGCUAGGUGUUUUUUCAUGAUCUAUCACAAUUGUGUGUGUGUGUGUGUGCACUAGUUAGAAGUACAGAAAAAGAUUUUCUAAAUUCUACCGUAGCAAAAACAAUUUCAAUAUAAAGGAAGUAUUCUACAUUCACUCUAUGACUUCAAACUUAGUUUACAAUAAAAUGUCAACUAGCGGGAAUAAAGAAGAUCAAUUAUCACGCAUUGGAAUAGUGUUCAAAUUAGAGCUGAUUUUUUUUUUUAUUAAGUUGGCAGCAGUUAAGUUCCAUUCAGCGCCCUUGAAUUGUAAAGUUUAUCAUGAAAAAUCUCCAAUGGGCCUCAUUCACCGAAACGUACGGUCACGUGACAACCAUCAACUAUUCACUUGUGUGUAUAGAAUAGUAUAGAUUAGUACUGGAAAGAUGGGGAAGCAAUGCGAUGCAUUUGACUAAUAAUUAUGAACAUAAAAAAGAAUGGAAAAAAAAAAAAAAGGUUUUCAUCGUUUUCCUGUGAGCAAUCCAAAGCUAUGUAAAGAAUGGGUUGUCAAACUGAAACGAAAAAACUUCACUGCAAGUGUACACUCUGUAAUAUGUUCAGAGCAUUUUGAGGAGGACUGUUUUAUUUACCAGCCUUUUACAAAUCGCAGACUUCUAAAGCCUGGUGCUGUGCCGACCAAGUUUUCUUUUUCCAAAAGUACACCAAGCCGAAAAAAGACCAAAUAUGAAUUUAGGUCAAUGUUUUGAAAUACUUCAGUAAUUAUGUUUUACAUUUUUUUAUCUUAAUUGUAAAUAUUUUUAUGAUGAGCAGACAGAAGACCAAAAAGAUGUUUACAACAGGCGGGCUUGCAACCCCCUGCACACUGACACUCUCCUUCAAUUACCUGAAAGAAUAAAUAUAUAUUUUUUAAAUUAAUAAUUACAUAUAUUAAUGCAUUAAAUGUUCUAAAAUUAAUAGGUGUGCAUAGACUAAUUUUAUAACCCCCCCCCCCCCACGCACAGGUUGUAGAUUAUGCCCACUUCGCAUACCUCUUGCACUGCCUCUGAAUAUAUGAUUUCUAAUUUAAACUAAAUCUAUAAUGUAGAUAAAAUGUAGUAGACAUCUAGAUUUAUCAGUUUAGAAUUAUAUUGGAUCCUACAAUGUUCAUGACUUAAAUUGUGUUAAUUACAUUAUAAAUCUUGUCACUAGGUGAUAAGUAAAUGCUAUAUAUAUCCUGAAUUCUAGAACUAGCCUUAUUCCAGAAAUAAACUCUAGAAUCACUCUAGACAAUUGUUUCUCAAAAUGUGUUCCACAGAACCUUACGCCUGAAUAAGUGUUCCAUGAACUACUGGAAUAAUUAAUUAGUAGGCUACCAUGUGAAUAAAUCUCUUAAAAAAAAAAUAAGAAAAGUUUUCCGCUAAAUACUCAUAGUGUGCGAAGUGUUCCGUUUUGAAGGAAAAGGUUUGGGAAACACUGCUCUAGACAGUCUAGACUAGGACUAUAAGUAUAGAUCUAUAUAUA